rnacentral:rRNA from 1 species
AUUGAACGCUGGCGGCAGGCCUAACACAUGCAAGUCGAGCGGAGCGGCGGAAGGGUGAGUAAUGCCUAGGAAUCUGCAUGGUAGUGGGGGAUAACGUCCGGAAACGGGCGCUCAUACCGCAUAAUAUCAGAUGAGCCUCGGUCGGAUUAGCUAGUUGGUGGGGUAAAGGCCUACCAAGGCGACGAUCCGUAACUGGUCUGAGAGGAUGAUCAGUCACACGGGAACUGCAACACGGUCCAGACUCCUACGGGAGUCAGCAGUGGGGAAUAUUGGACAAUGGGCGCAAGCCUGAUACAGCCAAGCCGCGUGUGUGAAGAAGGUCUUCGGAUUUGAAAGCACUUUAAGUUGGGAGGCGUUACCAAAAGAAUAAGCACCGGCUAACUUCGUGCCAGCAGCCGCGGUAAUAC